AGUCAUUACGUGUAUUAUAAACACUUCACGAAUCACGAGUACCUACCUAAUUAGCAUUAGCCGCCUGGACUCAACAGACCAUAUUUAUCAGCUGUCAUAAUAAUAAUAAUAACAACAAGUAGUUUACAUAAACUAGUUUAUACGUCAAUGAAUAACAACGAUUAAAGUUUCUAUAUUAUCAAUAAUCGUGAUAUCAACAUUUUGAUAUCACCAUUAUCUCAAAAGACUUUAGGCUUUAACACAUUUUUUGCGCCAGCUAUUUAAUUAAAAAUAUCAUAAUUCAUAGGUAACUGGAAUUGAAAUAAGAUGCUGCAUAGAAAAAGCAAAUGUGGCUAAUAUCAAAAUGAAAAAUAUAUUGGUACACCUAUCAGCAUCAGCUAACAUGCAUCCUCGAAUCCUAAUGAUUCGUAGUUCUGCGUAUUCACCGUGCUUCUUUACAGAGUAGAUACUUGGACUCUAUCUAAAGAUUUGAAAUAUUGAGUUCAGGCAUUUGAGGUAUUGAUAUACCAGUAUCUUGAUGCAAAUGAAUCUUGAAGAAUCUUGAAGUAGUCAAAACCAUAAAAAAAACUUUAAUACCACAGACAUGUUAUGCGCACCCAGGAAAAUAUAUUAUACUACAAUUAAUAAUCCAGUGUAAAAUAGAUGGAAGAAGCGAUGAAAGACCUCAAAUGUCUUGGAUUCAACUAUCGAUGGACAAUCUCAAACGGUGGUUCAACAAAUAUACAAAUUCAC